rnacentral:rRNA from 1 species
GAUGAACGCUGGCGGCGUGCCUAAUACAUGCAAGUCGAGCGAACGGACGAGAAGCUUGCUUCUCUGAUGUUAGCGGCGGACGGGUGAGUAACACGUGGAUAACCUACCUAUAAGACUGGGAUAACUUCGGGAAACCGGAGCUAAUAUCGGAUGAUAUUUUGAACCGCAUGGUUCAAAAGUGAAAGACGGUCUUGCUGUCACUUAUAGAUGGAUCCGCGCUGCAUUAGCUAGUUGGUAAGGUAACGGCUUACCAAGGCAACGAUGCAUAGCCGACCUGAGAGGGUGAUCGGCCACACUGGAACUGAGACACGGUCCAGACUCCUACGGGAGGCAGCAGUAGGGAAUCUUCCGCAAUGGGCGAAAGCCUGACGGAGCGACGCCGCGUGAGUGAUGAAGGUCCUCGGAUCGUAAAACUCUGUUAUUAGGGAAGAACAUAUGUGUAAGUAACUGUGCACAUCUUGACGGUACCUAAUCAGAAAGCCACGGCUAACUACGUG